GAAACCCAGUGNNAUNCGUCNCACUAUCGUUAACUGAAUACAUAGGUUAACGAGGCGAACCGGGGGAACUGAAACAUCUAAGUACCCCGAGGAAAAGAAAUCAACCGAGAUUCCCCCAGUAGCGGCGAGCGAACGGGGAGCAGCCCGGAGUCUGAAUCAGCUUGUGUGUUAGUGGAAGCGUCUGGAAAGUCGCACGGUACAGGGUGACAGUCCCGUACACGAAAGCACACAGGUUGUGAACUCGAAGAGUAGGGCGGGACACGUGGUAUCCUGUCUGAAUAUGGGGGGACCAUCCUCCAAGGCUAAAUACUCCUGACUGACCGAUAGUGAACCAGUACCGUGAGGGAAAGGCGAAAAGAACCCCGGCGAGGGGAGUGAAAAAGAACCUGAAACCGUGUACGUACAAGCAGUGGGAGCACCUUCGGGUGUGACUGCGUACCUUUUGUAUAAUGGGUCAGCGACUUAUAUUCUGUAGCAAGGUUAACCGUAUAGGGGAGCCGCAGGGAAACCGAGUCUUAACUGGGCGUUAAGUUGCAGGGUAUAGACCCGAAACCCGGUGAUCUAGCCAUGGGCAGGUUGAAGGUUGGGUAACACUAACUGGAGGACCGAACCGACUAAUGUUGAAAAAUUAGCGGAUGACCUGUGGCUGGGGGUGAAAGGCCAAUCAAACCGGGAGAUAGCUGGUUCUCCCCGAAAGCUAUUUAGGUAGCGCCUCGUGAACUCAUCUUCGGGGGUAGAGCACUGUUUCGGCUAGGGGGCCAUCCCGGCUUACCAACCCGAUGCAAACUACGAAUACCGAAGAAUGUUAUCACGGGAGACACACGGCGGGUGCUAACGUCCGUCGUGAAGAGGGAAACAACCCAGACCGCCAGCUAAGGUCCCAAAGUCAUGGUUAAGUGGGAAACGAUGUGGGAAGGCACAGACAGCCAGGAUGUUGGCUUAGAAGCAGCCAUCAUUUAAAGAAAGCGUAAUAGCUCACUGGUCGAGUCGGCCUGCGCGGAAGAUGUAACGGGGCUAAACCAUGCACCGAAGCUGCGGCAGCGACGCUUAUGCGUUGUUGGGUAGGGGAGCGUUCUGUAAGCCGUUGAAGGUGGCCUGUGAGGGUUGCUGGAGGUAUCAGAAGUGCGAAUGCUGACAUAAGUAACGAUAAAGCGGGUGAAAAGCCCGCUCGCCGGAAGACCAAGGGUUCCUGUCCAACGUUAAUCGGGGCAGGGUGAGUCGACCCCUAAGGCGAGGCCGAAAGGCGUAGUCGAUGGGAAACAGGUUAAUAUUCCUGUACUUGGUGUUACUGCGAAGGGGGGACGGAGAAGGCUAUGUCAGCCGGGCGACGGUUGUCCCGGUUUAAGCGUGUAGGUGUGUGUUCCAGGCAAAUCCGGUUCACUUUAACACUGAGGCGUGAUGACGAGGCACUACGGUGCUGAAGUGAUAAAUGCCCUGCUUCCAGGAAAAGCCUCUAAGCAUCAGGUAACACGAAAUCGUACCCCAAACCGACACAGGUGGUCAGGUAGAGAAUACCAAGGCGCUUGAGAGAACUCGGGUGAAGGAACUAGGCAAAAUGGUGCCGUAACUUCGGGAGAAGGCACGCUGAUAUGUAGGUGAAGUCCCUGCGGACGGAGCUGAAAUCAGUCGAAGAUACCAGCUGGCUGCAACUGUUUAUUAAAAACACAGCACUGUGCAAACACGAAAGUGGACGUAUACGGUGUGACGCCUGCCCGGUGCCGGAAGGUUAAUUGAUGGGGUUAGCGGCAACGCGAAGCUCUUGAUCGAAGCCCCGGUAAACGGCGGCCGUAACUAUAACGGUCCUAAGGUAGCGAAAUUCCUUGUCGGGUAAGUUCCGACCUGCACGAAUGGCGUAAUGAUGGCCAGGCUGUCUCCACCCGAGACUCAGUGAAAUUGAACUCGCUGUGAAGAUGCAGUGUACCCGCGGCAAGACGGAAAGACCCCGUGAACCUUUACUAUAGCUUGACACUGAACACUGGUCCUUGAUGUGUAGGAUAGGUGGGAGGCUUUGAAGCGUGGACGCCAGUCUGCGUGGAGCCGUCCUUGAAAUACCACCCUUUAAUGGCUGGUGUUCUAACGUGGACCCGUNAUCCGGGUUGCGGACAGUGUCUGGUGGGUAGUUUGACUGGGGCGGUCUCCUCCCAAAGAGUAACGGAGGAGCACGAAGGUUAGCUAAUCCUGGUCGGACAUCAGGAGGUUAGUGCAAUGGCAUAAGCUAGCUUGACUGCGAGAGUGACGGCUCGAGCAGGUGCGAAAGCAGGUCAUAGUGAUCCGGUGGUUCUGAAUGGAAGGGCCAUCGCUCAACGGAUAAAAGGUACUCCGGGGAUAACAGGCUGAUACCGCCCAAGAGUUCAUAUCGACGGCGGUGUUUGGCACCUCGAUGUCGGCUCAUCACAUCCUGGGGCUGAAGUAGGUCCCAAGGGUAUGGCUGUUCGCCAUUUAAAGUGGUACGCGAGCUGGGUUUAGAACGUCGUGAGACAGUUCGGUCCCUAUCUGCCGUGGGCGCUGGAGAAUUGAGGGGGGCUGCUCCUAGUACGAGAGGACCGGAGUGGACGCAUCACUGGUGUUCGGGUUGUCAUGCCAAUGGCACUGCCCGGUAGCUAAAUGCGGAAGAGAUAAGUGCUGAAAGCAUCUAAGCACGAAACUUGCCCCGAGAUGAGUUCUCCCUGAGACUUUAAGUCUCCUGAAGGAACGUUGAAGACGACGACGUUGAUAGGCCGGGUGUGUAAGCGCAGCGAUGCGUUGAGCUAACCGGUACUAAUGAACCGUGAGGCUUAACC
rnacentral:rRNA from 1 species